GCUGGGCAUAGUUGCUCAUGCCUGUAAUCCCAGCACUUUGGGAGGCUGAGGUAGGAGGAUCACUUGAGCCCAGGAGUUCAAGACCAGCCUGGGCAACAUAGUGAGAUCUUGUCUCUA
ensembl:misc_RNA Metazoa_SRP Metazoan signal recognition particle RNA